GAUGAACGCUGGCGGCGUGCCUAAUACAUGCAAGCCGAGCGAACAGACCAGGACCUUGCUCCUCUGACGUUAGCGCCGGACGGGUGAGUAACACGUGGAUAAACUACCUAUAAGACUGGGAUAACUUCGGGAAACCGGAGCUAAUACCGGAUAAUAUAUUGAACCGCAUUGUGCAAUAGUGAAAGACGGUUUUGCUGUCACUAAUAGAUUAAUACGCGCUGCAUGAGUUAGUUGGUAAGGUAAAGGCUUACCAAGGCGACGAUGCGUAGCCGACCUGAGAGGGUGAUCGGACACACUGGAACUGAGACACGGUCCAGACUCCUACGGGAGGCCGCAGUAGGGACUCUUCCGCGAUGGGCGAGUGCCUGACGGUGCAAAGCCGCGUGAGUGCUGAAGGUCUUCUGAUCGUAAAGCGCUGUUAUUAGUGAAGAACAAAAGUGUAAUUAACCAUGCACGUCUUGACGGUACCUAAUCAGAAAGCCCCGGCUAACUACGUG
rnacentral:rRNA from 1 species